rnacentral:tRNA from 1 species
GCGGGCGUGGCGGAAUUGGUAGACGCACUCGGUUUAGGUCCGAACGCUUUACGGCAUGGGGGUUCGAGUCCCUCCGCCCGCACCA